UACGUAGGGGGCAAGCGUUGUCCGGAAUCAUUGGGCGUAAAGAGCGUGUAGGCGGCCCGGUAAGUCCGUUGUGAAAGUCGAGGGCUCAACCCUCGAAUGCCGGCGGAUACUGUCGGGCUAGAGUCCGGAAGAGGCGAGUGGAAUUCCUGGUGUAGCGGUGAAAUGCGCAGAUAUCAGGAGGAACACCUACGGCGAAGGCAGCUCGCUGGGACGGUACUGACGCUGAGACGCGAAAGCGUGGGAGCAAACAGG
rnacentral:rRNA from 1 species